ACAUCAAUGUUAUCUGUAACUUCCGGUGCACUGGGGCACACAGCUGCAUCUCCCCAUGCUCACCUCCUGCCUCUUGCUGUGCUCAGUGUGAAGACUUAGCCUGGAUCACCUCCUCCAGGACAAGAACAACCUACCCUCAUCUGUCCAUCCAAUCUACCCACCCAUCCAUCCCUGCCUCUGGACAUGUAUCCUUCCAUCCAUCCAUCCCCCGCCUCUGUGCAUGCAUCUGUCCGUCCAUCCAUCCCUGCCUCUGUGCAUGCAUCUGUCCAUCCAUCCCUGCCUCUGUGCGUGCAUCUGUCCAUCCAUCCAUCCCUGCCUCUGUGCGUGCAUCUGUCCAUCCAUCCAUCCCUGCCUCUGUGCAUGCAUCUGUCAGUCCAUCCAUCCCUGCCUCUGUGCAUGCAUCUGUCAGUCUAUCCAUCCCUGCCUCUGUGCAUGCAUCUGUCCAUCCAUCCCUGCCUCUGUGCAUGCAUCUGUCCAUCCAUCCCUGCCUCUGUGCAUGCAUCUGUCCGUCCAUCCAUCCCUGCCUCUGUGCAUGCAUCUGUCAGUCCAUCCAUCCCUGCCUCUGUGCAUGCAUCUGUCAGUCUAUCCAUCCCUGCCUCUGUGCAUGCAUCUGUCCAUCCAUCCCUGCCUCUGUGCAUGCAUCUGUCCAUCCAUCCCUGCCUCUGUGCAUGCAUCUGUCCAUCCAUCCAUCCCUGCCUCUGUGCAUGCAUCUGUCAGUCCAUCCAUCCCUGACCCCUUCUUUGUAUCAGCUCAUCCAGUGUUCAGUGCUCACAACUCCCUCAUCCUAAGACGCUCAUUGGACCUAUUCCCUCCCCUCACCCCACGCGGCUCUCUGCCCUCCCUUCCCAGUCAAGUUCUCCAGCCAGUGGUCUCAACUCAAUCUUCACUUCCUCUGCUCCUCUCAUGCCUAAGCCCACUGUGGCCUAAAUUCUUCCCCAACGCGCUGGGUCUACAGGCACUAAAAAGGUGACUUUGUCCCUAGAUGACCAAAUACAAGCCAAUGUAAUUUACUGGGCUUGUUUUUGUCCCAGCCACGGCUGACCACUUCCUCCUUCACUCUUGUUGUUGAUCACCUUUGGGCUCAGUCUUUCUCCAUCUCUGUUGAUGCCACCUACCCCUUCAUGGUGGGGUUCUCUGUAGCUCUGUAUCUGACCGUCACGUUCCACCCUUUCCUCCCAGAAGCUUGCCAGCCCCCAUGGACUGCUGGCUCUCAAGGCGGCCACUAGCCCAGCUCUGACAGCAGAUGGCAAUGCACACUAUGUGGCCCGGGGCAGGCCCUGUGCUGAGAGGCACGGGUGAAUCGCUCAUUUCAUCGGCAAGCCCAUGCCACCAGCAGGCACCAUUCUCCUUGCAUUUCUCAGGCGAGGAACCUGAGACAAUGAGGUGAAGGAAGUUAUUCAUUACGAGGGGAAGAACCCUGACUUACUUGAAUUCAACUUUGAAGCCCACAUCCUCCUUUUGUGUGUGACAGGGUCUCACUGUGUCACCCAGGCCGCAGUGCAGUGGUGUGAACACAGCUCAUUACAGUCUCAACCUCCCUGACUCAAGCAAUCCUCCCGUUUCAGCCUCCUGAGUAGCUGGGACUACAAGCAUGUGCC